rnacentral:rRNA from 1 species
GACUCUCGGCAACGGAUAUCUCGGCUCUCGCAUCGAUGAAGAACGUAGCGAAAUGCGAUACCUGGUGUGAAUUGCAGAAUCCUGCGAACCAUUGAGUCUUUGAACGCAAGUUGCGCCCGAGGCCACUCGGCCGAGGGCACGCCUGCCUGGGCGUCA